rnacentral:rRNA from 1 species
GACGAACCGUGCGAACGUUGUUCGGAAUCACUGGGCUUAAAGGGCGCGUAGGCGGUUCGGAAAGUCCGGGGUGAAAGCCCCCAGCUCAACUGGGGAAGGGCCUCGGAUACUGCCGGACUUGGGGGAGGUAGGGGCGGGCGGAACUUCCGGUGGAGCGGUGAAAUGCGUUGAUAUCGGAAGGAACGCCGGUGGCGAAAGCGGCCCGCUGGACCUCUGCCGACGCUGAGGCGCGAAAGCCAGGGGAGCGAACGGG